AGUGAACGCUGGCGGUAGGCCUAACACAUGCAAGUCGAACGGCAGCACAGUAAGAGCUUGCUCUUACGGGUGGCGAGUGGCGGACGGGUGAGGAAUACAUCGGAAUCUACUUUUUCGUGGGGGAUCACGUAGGGAAACUUACGCUAAUACCGCAUACGACCUACGGGUGAAAGCAGGGGAUCUUCGGACCUUGCGCGAUUGAAUGAGCCGAUGUCGGAUUAGCUAGUUGGCGGGGUAAAGGCCCACCAAGGCGACGAUCCGUAGCUGGUCUAAGAGGAUGAUCAGCCACACUGGAACUGAGACACGGUCCAGACUCCUACGGGAGGCAGCAGUGGGGAAUAUUGGACAAUGGGCGCAAGCCUGAUCCAGCCAUACCGCGUGGGUGAAGAAGGCCUUCGGGUUGUAAAGCCCUUUUGUUGGGAAAGAAAAGCAGCAGGUUAAUACCCCGCUGUUCUGACGGUACCCAAAGAAUAAGCACCGGCUAACUUCGUG
rnacentral:rRNA from 1 species